rnacentral:rRNA from 1 species
GACGAACGCUGGCGGCGUGCUUAACACAUGCAAGUCGAACGGAAAGGCCCUGCUUUUGUGGGGUGCUCGAGUGGCGAACGGGUGAGUAACACGUGAGUAACCUGCCCUUGACUUUGGGAUAACCUCAGGAAACUGGGGCUAAUACCGGAUAGGAGCUCCUGCUGCAUGGUGGGGGUUGGAAAGUUUCGGCGGUUGGGGAUGGACUCGCGGCUUAUCAGCUUGUUGGUGGGGUAGUGGCUUACCAAGGCUUUGACGGGUAGCCGGCCUGAGAGGGUGACCGGCCACAUUGGGACUGAGAUACGGCCCAGACUCCUACGGGAGGCAGCAGUGGGGAAUAUUGCACAAUGGGCGGAAGCCUGAUGCAGCAACGCCGCGUGCGGGAUGACGGCCUUCGGGUUGUAAACCGCUUUCGCCUGUGACGAAGCGUGAGUGACGGUAAUGGGUAAAGAAGCACCGGCUAACUACGUGCCAGCAGCCGCGGUGAUACGUAGGGUGCGAGCGUUGUCCGGAUUUAUUGGGCGUAAAGGGCUCGUAGGUGGUUGAUCGCGUCGGAAGUGUAAUCUUGGGGCUUAACCCUGAGCGUGCUUUCGAUACGGGUUGACUUGAGGAAGGUAGGGGAGAAUGGAAUUCCUGGUGGAGCGGUGGAAUGCGCAGAUAUCAGGAGGAACACCAGUGGCGAAGGCGGUUCUCUGGGCCUUUCCUGACGCUGAGGAGCGAAAGCGUGGGGAGCGAACAGGCUUAGAUACCCUGGUAGUCCACGCUGUAAACGGUGGGUACUAGGUGUGGGGUCCAUUCCACGGGUUCCGUGCCGUAGCUAACGCUUUAAGUACCCCGCCUGGGGAGUACGGCCGCAAGGCUAAAACUCAAAGGAGUUGACGGGGCCCCGCACAAGCGGCGGAGCAUGCGGAUUAAUUCGAUGCAACGCGUAGAACCUUACCUGGGUUUGACAUGGAUCGGGAGUGCUCAGAGAUGGGUGUGCCUCUUUUGGGGUCGGUUCACAGGUGGUGCAUGGCUGUCGUCAGCUCGUGUCGUGAGAUGUUGGGUUAAGUCCCGCAACGAGCGCAACCCUUGUUCACUGUUGCCAGCACGUUAUGGUGGGGACUCAGUGGAGACCGCCGGGGUCAACUCGGAGGAAGGUGGGGAUGACGUCAAGUCAUCAUGCCCCUUAUGUCCAGGGCUUCACGCAUGCUACAAUGGCUGGUACAGAGAGUGGCGAGCCUGUGAGGGUGAGCGAAUCUCGGAAAGCCGGUCUCAGUUCGGAUUGGGGUCUGCAACUCGACCUCAUGAAGUCGGAGUCGCUAGUAAUCGCAGAUCAGCAACGCUGCGGUGAAUACGUUCCCGGG